rnacentral:lncRNA from 1 species
CGAAAUUUUAAGGCUUGAAGAUGUCAUAGAAGGGCUGAAUGAAGUGUUACUUAUAGACUAGAAUUCUGUAGAAGCCUAUGUAAUUACAGGUGAAAAUGUUUACAAGGACAAACACCAUGCAUGUUUUUGGGGUGUUUGGAAUGUAANAGGAUAAGAUGCUCAUUGAUGGUGAAAAAGUCAAAAAACUUUCAGUUUUAGAAAGAAGUACACUGAGAUGCAUGUCGACUCACCUAGGAGUGUCUAAAUCUUUGCUUCAUCAAUGGGUGAAGGAGAAAAAACUGAAACCACAUACAAAUGCCAUAAAACCCUUCCUUACCACACAAAACAAGCUAUGUAGGCUGAGGUGGAGCCUUAAACAGCUCAGUGGGGUCAGUGAGGAUGGUUUUAUACCAUUUCAAAGUAUGUACAACACCAUCCACAUCGAUGAAAAAUGGUUCUAUCUUACCAAAACCAAUGAUAGAUACUACCUCCUGCCCCGAUGAGGAAGAACCACAUAGGACAUGCAAAUCAAAAAGGCAUAUUGAAAAAUCAUGUUUAUGUGUGCUGUUGCGAGGCCUAUCAUUGAUGAAGAUGGCACAGUCAUAUUCGAUGGAAAGUUAGGCAUUUAUCCUUUCAUAACCAUAGAGCCAGCACAAAGGAACUCGAAAAACAGAGUGAAAGGUACGCUGGAAGUUAAGGCAAUUGCAGCAAUCACUAAGCCCAUCAUUAGAGACUGCCUUAUAAAACAGGUAAGCAUGCUCAAUUUUUUUUUAUUAAAUGCUAUCAGAAUAUUUGCAAAUUCAUCAUAUAGCCUUAAUCUGGCAGAUGGUUCUGACUUCAUGGCCAAGUGGCCGAAGACAUCAAGCAAGCACAUAUAUAUCCAACAAGAUAAUGCCAAACCACACAUUCAAGCAAAUGAUCCAGAGUUUCAAGCGGUUGCAAAUACUAAUGGAUUUAAAUUCCAAUUAGUAUGCCAGCCAUCUAAUUCACCGGAUACAAAUGUCAACGACCUCGGGUUUUUCAGAGCUAUUCAGAGCCUAAAAGAUCAAAAACCAGCCAAGAAUGUCGAGGAGUUACUAGAGAAUGUGAAAGCUGCGUACGAGGAAUACCCACCAGAGAAGCUCAACAAUGUUUUCCUAACCUUACAAGGCUGCUAUCAAGAGAUAAUCAAGUGUAAGGGUGGGAACAACUACAAGAUUCCACAUAUGAAUAAAGAAAGACUGUCCAGGCAGGGGGUGUUACCACGAUGUAUUCAAGUUGAAGAAUCACUUGUCAAGGAAAGUCUAGAGUUCCUACAGAUGGAAUCAAGUGAAGAAGGCGAAAUUUUAAGGCUUGAAGAUGUCAUAGAAGGGCUGAAUGAAGUGUUACUUAUAGACUAGAAUUCUGUAGAAGCCUAUGUAAUUACAGGUGAAAAUGUUUACAAGGACAAACACCAUGCAUGUUUUUGGGGUGUUUGGAAUGUAAACUUUUUGUAGAUGUUGCCCUCAGACUUUAACAUCAUCACUGGGCUAUUACAAUUACCUCAAUUGGCACCAAUGUCACUCAAUCGGCACCAAAGUCACUCAAUCGGCACCAACGAUGCCGAUUGUGCACCAAAGAUGCACAAUCGAUAUCACAGGUACAUAGAGAGCAUCACAGGUACACAGAGAGCAACAAAGGUACACCGAGAGCAACAAAGGUACACAAUCGGCAUUCACCAUGCAAAACAUAAGGCAUCACAGAGAACAAAUAGAGCAUCACAGGUACACAAUGAAGGCAGACAGAGAACUCAAUCAAGAGCACAGAGAAGGCAGCAAACACAUAAGGCAUCACCAGCCAUCCCCACCAAAGAAGCUGAAAUGAAAACACACAUAAGGCAUCACCAGCCAUCCCCACCAAAGUAAAAA